GGAUAGCUUAGUUGUUAAGAGCAUGAGACUCAUCUCAGGGUCAUGGGUUUGGAGACUCAAUCUCAGGAUCAUGGGUUUGAGCCCCAUGUUGAGUGAAAUA